UUAAGCGACUAAGCGUACACGGUGGAUGCCCUGGCAGUCAGAGGCGAUGAAGGACGUGCUAAUCUGCGAUAAGCGUCGGUAAGGUGAUAUGAACCGUUAUAACCGGCGAUUUCCGAAUGGGGAAACCCAGUGUGAUUCGUCACACUAUCAUUAACUGAAUCCAUAGGUUAAUGAGGCGAACCGGGGGAACUGAAACAUCUAAGUACCCCGAGGAAAAGAAAUCAACCGAGAUUCCCCCAGUAGCGGCGAGCGAACGGGGAGCAGCCCAGAGCCUGAAUCAGUGUGUGUGUUAGUGGAAGCGUCUGGAAAGGCGCGCGAUACAGGGUGACAGCCCCGUACACAAAAAUGCACAUACUGUGAGCUCGAUGAGUAGGGCGGGACACGUGGUAUCCUGUCUGAAUAUGGGGGGACCAUCCUCCAAGGCUAAAUACUCCUGACUGACCGAUAGUGAACCAGUACCGUGAGGGAAAGGCGAAAAGAACCCCGGCGAGGGGAGUGAAAAAGAACCUGAAACCGUGUACGUACAAGCAGUGGGAGCACGCUUAGGCGUGUGACUGCGUACCUUUUGUAUAAUGGGUCAGCGACUUAUAUUCUGUAGCAAGGUUAACCGAAUAGGGGAGCCGAAGGGAAACCGAGUCUUAACUGGGCGUUAAGUUGCAGGGUAUAGACCCGAAACCCGGUGAUCUAGCCAUGGGCAGGUUGAAGGUUGGGUAACACUAACUGGAGGACCGAACCGACUAAUGUUGAAAAAUUAGCGGAUGACUUGUGGCUGGGGGUGAAAGGCCAAUCAAACCGGGAGAUAGCUGGUUCUCCCCGAAAGCUAUUUAGGUAGCGCCUCGUGAAUUCAUCUCCGGGGGUAGAGCACUGUUUCGGCAAGGGGGUCAUCCCGACUUACCAACCCGAUGCAAACUGCGAAUACCGGAGAAUGUUAUCACGGGAGACACACGGCGGGUGCUAACGUCCGUCGUGAAGAGGGAAACAACCCAGACCGCCAGCUAAGGUCCCAAAGUCAUGGUUAAGUGGGAAACGAUGUGGGAAGGCCCAGACAGCCAGGAUGUUGGCUUAGAAGCAGCCAUCAUUUAAAGAAAGCGUAAUAGCUCACUGGUCGAGUCGGCCUGCGCGGAAGAUGUAACGGGGCUAAACCAUGCACCGAAGCUGCGGCAGCGACGCUUAUGCGUUGUUGGGUAGGGGAGCGUUCUGUAAGCCUGCGAAGGUGUGCUGUGAGGCAUGCUGGAGGUAUCAGAAGUGCGAAUGCUGACAUAAGUAACGAUAAAGCGGGUGAAAAGCCCGCUCGCCGGAAGACCAAGGGUUCCUGUCCAACGUUAAUCGGGGCAGGGUGAGUCGACCCCUAAGGCGAGGCCGAAAGGCGUAGUCGAUGGGAAACAGGUUAAUAUUCCUGUACUUGGUGUUACUGCGAAGGGGGGACGGAGAAGGCUAUGUUGGCCGGGCGACGGUUGUCCCGGUUUAAGCGUGUAGGCUGGUUUUCCAGGCAAAUCCGGAAAAUCAAGGCUGAGGCGUGAUGACGAGGCACUACGGUGCUGAAGCAACAAAUGCCCUGCUUCCAGGAAAAGCCUCUAAGCAUCAGGUAACAUCAAAUCGUACCCCAAACCGACACAGGUGGUCAGGUAGAGAAUACCAAGGCGCUUGAGAGAACUCGGGUGAAGGAACUAGGCAAAAUGGUGCCGUAACUUCGGGAGAAGGCACGCUGAUAUGUAGGUGAAGUCCCUCGCGGAUGGAGCUGAAAUCAGUCGAAGAUACCAGCUGGCUGCAACUGUUUAUUAAAAACACAGCACUGUGCAAACACGAAAGUGGACGUAUACGGUGUGACGCCUGCCCGGUGCCGGAAGGUUAAUUGAUGGGGUCAGCGCAAGCGAAGCUCUUGAUCGAAGCCCCGGUAAACGGCGGCCGUAACUAUAACGGUCCUAAGGUAGCGAAAUUCCUUGUCGGGU
rnacentral:rRNA from 1 species